AUGUGUCCGUGAACCUUGUGAAAGCCGUGGGUACCUCUUUCCAGCAAGCAUUACCACCAGAUGUGCAGGCUCGUAGUUGUUACUAACAACCCACAUCAGCAGCACUCAGUUUUUUUUCCAUUGUUUUUCAAAUUAUGUUAAAAAUCACUCUGUAUGUUAUAUUUCCCCUGGAGUGGAGAGUACUACUGCAGAAACGGUUAAAUUU